rnacentral:tRNA from 3 species
GCGGAAAUAGCUCAGUGGUAGAGUAUUGCCUUGCCAAGGCAAGUGUCGAGGGUUCGAAUCCCUUUUUCCGCU